ensembl:lncRNA
GUGUGUGUGUGUGUGUGUGUGUGUGUGUUGGUUUAGGAUUUGUGUGUUGGUUUAGGAUUGUUGGGCGGUUAAGUGCAUUUGAUUUAUGAGUGUGUAAUUGCUGUUACAGGUGACCAUUGAGUUUGACCAGAGCGUGUCCAUUGCGUUCUCCUGCCAGAGCUGUGACUGCAAAGUGGUUCACGAGUAUAUCGGAGGCUACAUUUUCCUUUCCACACGCUCAAAAGACCAAAAUGAAACAUUACGUGAAGAACUCUUCCACAAGCUCACAGGAGGACAAGACUGACCUCAAAUCAACAUCAGCCUUUAGAAAAGCAAGAAUACAUUGUUAGUGUUUUUUUUAUUUGCCAAAGUCAUUUUAUAUUAGUUUUAAUACACACAGAAGCCAUGUGCACAAGAGAGUAAACAAAUCAAAGCAUUCAACCCAUAUUUCGGAUCUGAAACAAUAUAUUUGCUGACUUUUGACAUCUUUAUAAGUUGUUUUUGCAUCUGAACAAUGUACAUAAUUUACAGCACAGAUUUCCAUACAUGAAUUUGCGUAAUAGAUAUGGGAUACGGUGGGGUUUGGAUUUAAACGAUUUGUUAGUUUUCCACUGAAUGUUUCUUUGAAGUUGUGUACUAACAAAGUGCUUUUUACAGUUCAGUUACAGUUCAGAUGUAAAUAUGUUUACAUUUAAUGUUUCACCAAAAUGUCUAGGUGCUUUGGCUUGUUUUAUGAAAAAAAAUAUAUUUUUAGUUUAAUUAUGCCUUUUAAAGUGUGAAUUUUAUUUUGUUUAAUGUCAUUUUGUUUUCAUUAUGUUGACUGGAAGAUCUAAAANUUCACAACAUAUGGUCCUUCGAGCCGGAUUGCAAUUGCUGUGGAAUUUAUAAAAAUGUCUUCUGACCAAAGGAGUAGAGAAGGAAGGCCUGCUGAUGUGCGUCCUAAACGACAAGUGCGACCACCAGCCUGGUUGGAAGAUUAUGAUGUUUCUCUCCCGCACUAUGAUGAACCUUCACCUGUUGUUCAAACCGCGCCUCUCACCACAGAGGAACAGGAGCCUUAUCAUCGUAUUGAGAGGGUAGCCGAGAUGACCCCCCUCACUCAUCACACACUUCGACACUUCGACACUUCAACUGGACUCAGGCAGAGGCCGUUUACCCAUUCUGGCCAGGUGGAACAGAUGUAUAAGAGCACACCUGUACCUCACCACAGUGUAUCAGGGGAUGUAUCCUCAGAGAUAUUGGAGGCUAUUCAACAGCUCAAGAUGGAGAAUCAGAAACUACAGUCUACAGUUUUAGACAUGCAACGAGAAAUGCGAGGUGAUACUGUGGUUCCAUUGCACCAUAGGUCAGUGCCACCAUCACAUGACAGAGCCCCUUCGCAACCAUGGCGGCUACCUCGUGCCAACCUGCCAUACUCAGAGCAGCCAACUGAUAGUUACCAAAUUCAGCCUCACAGUAAAUCGACAUGGGAUGUUAGUAGAGCCCCUAUACCACACAAAGAGGAGGAUUGGCCACCCCCACCUCCACCAGUAGCUGAUGAUGUCCCACUUCCUCGAACUGCAGUGAAUAAACCACUACCUCCACCUCCAACAGCAGCUAUCCCAGACUUAGUGGAGGAAUUAACUGCAUGUUUGCGUAGACUAGGCAGGACAUCACACCCACCUUCGUGUCCAGCGACGCCUGAGUACUUUGAACCAGAUGAUGGUUCUUCAGUGGCAUCUGAUGCGCAGAGGUCACAUGACAUUGAUAGACAGUCCAAGUAUCCCCCCAUACCUCCUCAUGUCAGUAUGCAGUAUCACAAGGAGACUGGUGAGGACUUCCACAACCCUCAGCGAGAGAAAUUAUAUCGAGGUCCUAAACCCACAAUUCCAGAUUUCACCAAAGGGGACCCACGAGAGUUUGCAAGAUUGAAGAUCUCCCUGGAUAAUAUUCUGCCUGAAGAUGCCACAGAGAGAUUUAAAUAUCAGAUCCUCUUAGAUCAUCUCAAAUUUGAGGAUGCCCUUCUGAUAGCAGACUCUUACACAAAUUCAAAGAGACCUUAUUCAGACACCAUGGCUUCCCUGGCAGAACAGUAUGGACAGCCCCACCAGUUAGCUCUACGCCAUAUUGCUGACCUCAUGGAAGGCUCAAGUAUCCGCAGUCAUGAUACAACUGGAUUUAAGAAGUUUGCACUUAAGGUCAGAGCUCUCGUGGGCAUGCUAGAUCAACUUGGUCAAAGUGGAAAUGUUGAACUCCAGUGCGGCUCACAUGUUACUAGGUUACUAUCCAAGUUACCUCAGGACCUGCGAGCUGAUUUCAAGAGGUACAUGUAUCCCCUGGGAGUCCGCAUCCCCACACUUCUGAACUUUGCAGAGUGGCUGGAAUACGAACUGACAAUUCAAGAAAGUGGUUUUGAGUUUAUUGGAGAAAGAAGGGAACGCCUUGAUCAAAGGAUGGACAGACGUAAGGACGUCAAGUCUAGUAAGACAUUUUCCAUAUUUCACAGCUCAGACCCUUCCCCCACCAAUCCACCAACAGAAGGGUCUGGUCCAAGUGCUACUAGACCUCAAGACAAGGUAAAGGCAUACUGUCCCUAUUGCUCCAACACCCAACAUUACUUGAAUCAGUGCCAGAACUUUAGUCAGCUUACUAAAGAACAGAAGUGCUACUGGGUAAAAACAAAUAAAAAAUGUUGGCGUUGUGGUCGCACCCACCAAGCAGCACAGUGUCGUCUGAAAACAAUCUGCAAAAUCUGUAAGGGCAGGCAUCUUGAGGCACUCCACGAGCUCAAUGAUAGACCAAUUAGAGAAACCCCUCCUCUUUCGAAUCCCACCAGUGAGGUUCUCUACUUGGAUAGGCAAGCAGGCUGCAGUAAGGUACUGCUGAAAGUCAUCAAAGUGAUUUUACGUAAUGGAAAGCAUGUGCUAGAGACCUUCGCCAUUCUAGAUGAUGGCUCAGAGAGAACAAUUCUCCUUCAGGCUGCUGCUCAGAAACUGAAUCUUCACGGUAAGACAGAGGAUCUGGUACUGAGAACAGUUCGACAGGACAUGAAGGUCAUACAAGGUAAUACAGUUUCCUUCUCAAUAUCUCCUGCUUGUCAGCCUCAGAAGGUCUUUAAGAUCAACAGAGCAUUCACAGCAGAUCAGCUAGGAUUGGCAGAACAUACUUACCCUAUUAAAGUUCUACAAAGCAAGUACAGCCAUCUCAGAGGGCUGCCCAUUCCUGCCCUUGACAAAGCUCAUCCACUCUUGCUAAUUGGCUCUGACUAUCCUCAUUUAAUCACGCCAAUUGCGCCAGUGCUCUUGGGUCCUUCGGGUGGACCAGCAGCAGUGAGAACGAGGUUGGGUUGGACAGUCCAGGGUCCUGCCAAGCUUGUCCAUUAUCAGCUUCAGUCUCAACAGUGCCUGAACAUUUCCAUUAUGUCUCCCUCCAAUGAACUGUUCAAAAAUGUGCAGCAACUUUGGCAACUGGAUGUAUUGCCUUACAGGAAUGAGAAGCUUAUCACUAGAUCUAAGCAAGAUCAGGAUGCAGUGAACCUGUUAGAGGCAAAGUCCAAACGGAUUGACAUCAAUGGGAUCCAGCGCUAUGCCACUCCUCUUCUCAGGGUAAAGCACAUGCCAAAACUACAAGCCACAAAGGAAGCGGUAAUGGCCAACCUCCGCAGCACAGAGAAUCGCUUAAUGAGAGACCCUCAAAAGGCAGAAGCUUAUCAUGACGAAAUUAGGAAGCUAGAACAAGCUGGCUAUGCAGUCAAGGUACAAGAGCAGAUACUGAGUGAGACUGAUGAAUCUUGGUUCAUCCCUCAUCAUAUGGUGAGUCACAACGGGAAGAACAGAGUUGUCUUUAACUGCUCAUUCUCCUACAAAGGACAAAACCUAAAUGAUCUGCUCCUGCCUGGACCCAAUUUGGGGUCUUCUUUACUUGGUGUACUGCUAAGAUUCAGGGAGCACUCUGUCGCUAUCAGUAGCGACAUAAAGGGCAUGUUUCACCAAGUGAGAUUGCUGCCAGAAGACAAGCCGCUCCUCCGUUUCUUAUGGCGCAAUUUAGACAGAGAGAAACAACCCGAUAUCUAUGAGUGGCAAGUGCUCCCAUUCGGGACAACAUGUAGUCCGUGCUGUGCUACAUACGCUUUGCAGAGGCAUGUAUUUGACCACAGCCAACCAGGAGACCAGGUACGAGACUCUAUUGAAAGAUCUUUCUAUGUAGACAACUGUCUACAGAGCCUUGCUUCGUUGGAUGAAGCCAAAUUGCUUGUGGAUUCAUUAAGAGACCUGUUAGCCACAGGUGGAUUUGAGUUACGGCAAUGGGCAAGCAACAUUCCUGAGGUCAUUUGUCAUUUACCAAAGGAAGCCAGGUCAGAGAGCAGUGAGCUUUGGCUCAAUCAGACUGGGGAAGAUCCUCAAGAAUUUGCACUAGGGCUACGUUGGCUGUGCAAUUCAGACACUCUAAAGUAUAAGUGCCGUCUGCUAGACUGCCCGAAACCAACAAUGAGGAACAUAUACAAAGUGGUAGCAAGUCAAUAUGAUCCUCUCGGGUUCAUUGUUCCCUACACAACUAGGGCCAAAAUCCUCAUUCAGCAUCUUUGGGCAAAACACAGAGAAUGGGAUGAUCCGGUACUGCCAGAAGAUCUCCUUCGAACUUGGCACUCUUGGCAGGGGGAAUUGCAACACCUGUCNNNNNNNNN